AUCAGUGACCAUACCUUGUAAAAAGCACCGAUUCUCGUCCGGUCACCGAAAUUAAGCUACGUGGGGCCCGGUUAGUACUUGCAUGGGUCACUGGCUGGGAAUACCGGCUGUUGCUGACA
rnacentral:rRNA from 1 species